CUCCCGGCCUGAGCCCGGCUCCUCGCGGCCCCGCCCCGCUGGAGGCGGCUUCAUCUUUGCCCCCUUCCCGCCGCGUCAGAAGCGAAACCUUCUCUCUGUAACGUUCCAGCUGUUCUCUCUAAAUCAGGUUGAAUUCAUUCCCCUUCAAGAACAUGGAAUUUAUCUAUCUACUGGGAGUGCUGCCUAAAGAUGGUCCUCUGCUGUCAGAACCUGUUUGGAGAACUGUGUCAGAAGAAAACUGCUUUGCCUAAGGUUACCUCUACUUUGAGGGGAAGCCACUAUCCAAUGUCCUCAUCCUAUCCAAAUCAUUGCAGGGAUAUAAAAGUCCAGCCACCUUGCCCCCAACUCUAAAGUGCCAUCCCAGCUCCAGUGCUCCCAAAGGACCUGCUGAAGUCUUCAGGAAAACUAUAUCACAGCUUCACUUCUUUGCCCAGCUCUGCUUCCCUCCCCUGCAACUAUCAGUACUCAUCUCCAGAGUGCUUCUCAGUAUCUUGUACAUUAAUGUCCAACUACUAGGGGAGCCCAACCUGCAACAAUCUAGAAGUAAAGACCUCAAUAAUUACAACUGAAUUUGCAUCAAUAUAGAAAUGGUUGAAAAUGAAGGACCUAUUAAAGGAGACCUCAUCUGCUGCUUCUUGUCCAGGGCUUUGAGAGAAGAAAAAAGUGACCCAUCUGGUUUAUUUUUCAUUUAGGAAGAUCCAAGAUAUUGACCUCUCUGUAUAUUUUGCAUGUUUCUGGUAACUUAUAAGAAGAAAGAGGGAUGAGCCAUAGGAGUGACCCUCAUCUGCAAACAAUAGAUUGGCAAAGAUACAGGAGGAGAAAAAAACAGUAUCAGAGAAAUCACAGAAGUUCACCUGCUAUUAUGACAAGUGAGCUAGACCCAAGUUUCAGAGGUAAAGGAACUAGAGAGUUGAAAAUUUCAUUAAGUGGUGGCAAUUUCAUUUACUAGGGCAGGUGUCAACUAAUCAAUUCACAAAUUAAGAGUUUUGUUUCUACCAUAAUAAUUUAAUAAAAAUACCUGCUACCUCAAUUUUUACCUUUUUUUCAGGCAUUUUUUUGGGUCCUAAAGAUAAAAUGGAUCCAUUAAAACUGGGCUUCGGGCACU